AGAGUUUGAUCCUGGCUCAGAACGAACGCUGGCGGCAUGCCUAAUACAUGCAAGUCGAACGAGAUCUUCGGAUCUAGUGGCGCACGGGUGCGUAACGCGUGGGAAUCUGCCCUUGGGUUCGGAAUAACUUCUGGAAACGGAAGCUAAUACCGGAUGAUGACGUAAGUCCAAAGAUUUAUCGCCCAAGGAUGAGCCCGCGUAGGAUUAGCUAGUUGGUGAGGUAAUGGCUCACCAAGGCGACGAUCCGUAACUGGUCUGAGAGGAUGAUCAGUCACACUGGAACUGAGACACGGUCCAGACUCCUACGGGAGGCAGCAGUGGGGAAUAUUGGACAAUGGGCGAAAGCCUGAUCCAGCCAUGCCGCGUGUGUGAAGAAGGUCUUCGGAUUGUAAAGCACUUUAAGUUGGGAGGAAGGGUAGUAACCUAAUACGUUGCUGCUUUGACGUUACCGACAGAAUAAGCACCGGCUAACUUCGUGCCAGCAGCCGCGGUAAUACGAAGGGUGCAAGCGUUAAUCGGAAUUACUGGGCGUAAAGCGCGCGUAGGUGGUUCAGCAAGUUGGAUGUGAAAGCCCUGGGCUCAACCUGGGAACUGCAUCCAAAACUACUGAGCUAGAGUACGGUAGAGGGUAGUGGAAUUUCCUGUGUAGCGGUGAAAUGCGUAGAUAUAGGAAGGAACACCAGUGGCGAAGGCGACUACCUGGACUGAUACUGACACUGAGGUGCGAAAGCGUGGGGAGCAAACAGGAUUAGAUACCCUGGUAGUCC
rnacentral:rRNA from 1 species